AUGGACGCUGGCGGCGUGCCUAAUACAUGCAAGUCGAGCGAACAGAUGAGGAGCUUGCUCCUCUGACGUUAGCGGCGGACGGGUGAGUAACACGUGGAUAACCUACCUAUAAGACUGGGAUAACUUCGGGAAACCGGAGCUAAUACCGGAUAAUAUAUUGAACCGCAUGGUUCAAUAGUGAAAGACGGUUUUGCUGUCACUUAUAGAUGGAUCCGCGCCGCAUUAGCUAGUUGGUAAGGUAACGGCUUACCAAGGCAACGAUGCGUAGCCGACCUGAGAGGGUGAUCGGCCACACUGGAACUGAGACACGGUCCAGACUCCUACGGGAGGCAGCAGUAGGGAAUCUUCCGCAAUGGGCGAAAGCCUGACGGAGCAACGCCGCGUGAGUGAUGAAGGUCUUCGGAUCGUAAAACUCUGUUAUUAGGGAAGAACAAAUGUGUAAGUAACUAUGCACGUCUUGACGGUACCUAAUCAGAAAGCCACGGCUAACUACGUG
rnacentral:rRNA from 1 species